AUUUGCUUAACCUCGCAGCCUCGUAAUAUUGAUCAAAGACCUUACAUAGAUUUCCGUCACCAAAUAUACAUCCUGUUGUAUACGAAGAGUGGUUGGAAGUCGUCCCAAGCAGAUUUAAAAACGAAAAUUGCUAUCGCAAAUAUAGAGUUUGCGAUAGACAUUUUGAACCAGAAGCAAAGUACGGGAAGGGUCGCCUUCAAAGAUGGGCAGUUCCAAAACUACAUUUACCUAGUGAGCCUACCACAGUUGGAAAUCAAGUGGUUGAUGAUGCGGGAUGUGUAUUACAAAAUCCUAUAGAAGUUGAGGUUGCUUCAAGUACUUGGGGUGGAGUAAUACAUGAAGAAUCUAUACCCUAUGUAGGAGAAAUUUAUUGUGCUUCUGACUGUAUUGAAGAAAUAAUGCCCCAAUUUCAUUUACCUAUACCAGAGAGUAUUGUACAACCUUUAUAUGGAACUGUGGAGCUGGAGGAUAGUAAUAAUU